AAACUGCCCCUCAUGAUUCGUCUGGGCAUCUCCAACCAAGACGGUGACAUGCCUGCUCUCAUGGUGGGCAACGU
ensembl:miRNA MIR9839 microRNA mir-9839